rnacentral:lncRNA from 1 species
UAUGGCCACAAAAGCUGAAAAAAAGACAAUGUAUAAAAAAUAUUAAUACCAAAUAUGUUAGUGUGAAAAUGUGUUUUAUUUAUGCAAUGGAUACUUAGUUUAGUUUAUUAUUGUGUAAAAUUAAAGUGUGUUUCAGGAAAGUAUAAUUUGUAAGUUUACACAAGUUUUAUCAAACAUAUGGAUACAGUUAUACAGUAUCAUACAUGAUAUAAGAUAGAAUAAAUAUUAAACCUGGAAAGACAUUUGUAGCAAUAUGUAAGGGAAAGCUAUUGGGUAUUUAAACAUUGAAUGUAACAACAUGACAAGUCUCUUACAUUAUACUGUUUCUAGAGACAGAAGACAAAAGAUGUUCAAUGUGACAGCUGGAAAUGUAAGUAGCAGGCUACAAGACUGAUUUCCAAACCAAAUGAUAGGCACUGAUAUGUAUUGUUGUUUAUAAAAUGUUUCAUUGAUAUGUUUACCUGUUACACACAGGUAAAUGUCAACUUCUGGGCACAAAUUACAGGUGGAGGAUGAUUGAUUUAGACUUUAGCCUAAGAGGAUUUUAACUAAUGUAUUCCAUGUAACUUUUACCAUGAUUUUAGAUGCCUAAGUUCCAAAACAUUAACACUCUUAUUUGCAGAAACGCCCAUGGAUGAAGAAUCAGACUGCCUAAUGGAGGACGAAUGAUGAAAAUUGUCACAUGCUGCAAGAAAAAUGCCGAGCUUGAAACAUAGAAUCCCACAAACCACCAGCACCAACUCAGACAGAUGGUAUUUCAACAUAUAGUAAAUUCACUGUCGUAGAGCGGAUAUAGCUGGUCAAAUCAUACAAGAAUGUUGAGUUGAUGGACAAUGAAGAGCGGUUACAUGACAUGAAAGUACAGCUGACCACAGUGCAGGGUAACCACAAGGAAUCUAUUGAACAGCUUGGGGACAAGUCCCAGCAAGUGGCCAUGCUGAGGACUGAGGUCUCUCGAACACAGCAACAGAACCAGGCAAUGUCUGAAGAUGUUGAUUGUGAAUGAAGUUCUACAACUUAUAUUAAUCACUCUCGACACCUCUUUCCUGAUG